rnacentral:lncRNA from 11 species
GUUACUCUAGAGCAUGAAUCGGGGCCUGUCGUUUGGGCAGAGCUCAUAGACAUGACAAAGAAGGCUGCCAUGGAUGCCACUGGGCAGGGAUGGGAGUGGAAGGUGUGUUUGUGUACAACACUUCGUCUUUCCUGCCGAAGGAGAAGCUCUGUCCAAAGCCUUGGGGAACGUGGGAAAGGAAAGGCUGUCAUCCAAAGAGACACCGUGGUUCUCUCCAAGUAUCCCUCAUGUCCUCUCAUUGGCAGCAAGGGAAGUCUAUUGAUUUUAAUCUAUCAGGCCCCUAAUAAAAUCCAGCCACUUCAUCCAUUCUGUAAUGCGGUGUUUACUGUCGUAACACGACACUUAAGUAAAUUAUUACUUUUAAUUUUUUUUAAAAAUCCUCUCAAUCUGUUGUUUUACCGUUUCCAUAAGCGAGGGAAUUGAUCAGAGCGAUAUAUUUGAAUUAGGACGUACUGAAUCGAUGGCAGAUCCCUAUCCCGCUGGGCUUCACAAGAGCUCAAGGCAGAGGCCGGCGCAAGGUAUCUUCCAGCUACAAUAGUCUGGAGCCCUUAUACUAAACUCGGGCAGGCAAUUAAAACUUGAAGGCACUUUUCCGCCUCCCUUACAAACAAAAAGCCGAAUUCUGUUUGUAUUUCACUCGAAAACGACCAAGCAACCAUAAUAAGCUCGGGGCUUCUUUAAACCGCUCCCAUCACCAGUCUUCAAAGAGCACGGACUUCUAAAAAGACAGAGGCUUGCUUUGGUUUCUGAGGCAAAAUAAAAUCAUUCCUUGUAUCUCAAAAGGAUCCAUGGAAGCUUCAGUCCUAAGCAACUAAGGCCCCUU